UACGUAGGGUGCGAGCGUUGUCCGGAAUUAUUGGGCGUAAAGAGCUUGUAGGCGGUUUGUCGCGUCUGCUGUGAAAUUUCGGGGCUCAACCCCGAACUUGCAGUGGGUACGGGCAGACUAGAGUGUGGUAGGGGAGACUGGAAUUCCUGGUGUAGCGGUGAAAUGCGCAGAUAUCAGGAGGAACACCGAUGGCGAAGGCAGGCUCGUGG
rnacentral:rRNA from 1 species